UCAGGCUGCUCUGACUGAUUUGUUG
rnacentral:misc_RNA from 1 species